rnacentral:rRNA from 1 species
UACGUAGGACCCAAGCGUUGUCCGGAUUUACUGGGUGUAAAGGGUGCGCAGGCGGAUGGGUAAGUCAGAGGUGAAAGUCUGCAGCUUAACUGUAGAAUUGCCUUUGAUACUGCUCGUCUUGAGUGUGGGAGAGGUUGAUGGAAUUCCAGGUGUAGCAGUGAAAUGCGUAGAUAUCUGGAAGAACACCAGUGGCGAAGGCGGUCAACUGGCCCAUAACUGACGCUCAUGCACGAAAGCGUGGGUAGCGAACAGGAUUAGAAACCCCCGUAGUCC